AGUGAACGCUGGCGGUAGGCCUAACACAUGCAAGUCGAACGGCAGCACAGUAAGAGCUUGCUCUUACGGGUGGCGAGUGGCGGACGGGUGAGGAAUACAUCGGAAUCUACUUUUUCGUGGGGGGUAACGUAGGGAAACUUACGCUAAUACCGCAUACGACCUACGGGUGAAAGCAGGGGAUCUUCGCACCUUGCGCGAUUGAAUGCGCCGAUGUCGGAUUAGCUAGUUGGCGGGGUAAAGGCCCACCAAGGCGACGAUCCGUAGCUGGUCUGAGAGGAUGGUCAGCCACACUGGAACUGGGACACGGUCCAGGCUCCUACGGGAGGCAGCAGUGGGGAAUAUUGGACAAUGGGCGCAAGCCUGGUCCAGCCAUACCGCGUGGGUGAAGAAGGCCUUCGGGUUGUAAAGCCCUUUUGUUGGGAAAGAAAAGCAGCAGGUUAAUACCCCGCUGUUCUGACGGUACCCAAAGAAUAAGCACCGGCUAACUUCGUG
rnacentral:rRNA from 1 species